GUGUCAGCAGCCGCGGUAAUACGGAGGGUGCGAGCGUUGUUCGGAAUUAUUGGGCGUAAAGCGCGUGUAGGUGGUUGGGUAAGUCAGGUGUGAAAGCCUUCCGCUUAACGGGAGAAGUGCAUUUGAGACUGCCCGGCUGGAGUACGGGAGAGGAGAGUGGAAUUCCCGGUGUAGAGGUGAAAUUCGUAGAGAUCGGGAGGAACACCGGUGGCGAAGGCGGCUCUCUGGUCCGAUACUGACGCUGAGACGCGAAAGCGUGGGUAGCAAACAGGAUUAGAUACCCCUGUAGUCC
rnacentral:rRNA from 1 species